CAGCCGCCACGGGAAUACGAGGGGAGCUAGCGUUAUUCGGAAUUACUGGGCGUAAAGCGCACGUAGGCGGCUUUGUAAGUUAGAGGUGAAAGCCCAGAGCUCAACUCUGGAAUUGCCUUUAAGACUGCAUCGCUUGAAUCCAGGAGAGGUGAGUGGAAUUCCGAGUGUAGAGGUGAAAUUCGUAGAUAUUCGGAAGAACACCAGUGGCGAAGGCGGCUCACUGGACUGGUAUUGACGCUGAGGUGCGAAAGCGUGGGGAGCAAACAGGAUUAGAUACCCCGGUAGUCCCUGUCUCUUAUAC
rnacentral:rRNA from 1 species